rnacentral:rRNA from 1 species
CGCUGGCGGCGUGCUUAACACAUGCAAGUCGAACGGAAAGGCCCUGCUUUUGUGGGGUGCUCGAGUGGCGAACGGGUGAGUAACACGUGAGUAACCUGCCCUUGACUUUGGGAUAACUUCAGGAAACUGGGGCUAAUACCGGAUAGGAGCUCCUGCUGCAUGGUGGGGGUUGGAAAGUUUCGGCGGUUGGGGAUGGACUCGCGGCUUAUCAGCUUGUUGGUGGGGUAGUGGCUUACCCAGGCUUUGACGGGUAGCCGGCCUGAGAGGGUGACCGGCCACAUUGGGACUGAGAUACGGCCCAGACUCCUACGGGAGGCAGCAGUGGGGAAUAUUGCACAAUGGGCGGAAGCCUGAUGCAGCAACGCCGCGUGCGGGAUGACGGCCUUCGGGUUGUAAACCGCUUUCGCCUGUGACGAAGCGUGAGUGACGGUAAUGGGUAAAGAAGCACCGGCUAACUACGUGCCAGCAGCCGCGGUGAUACGUAGGGUGCGAGCGUUGUCCGGAUUUAUUGGGCGUAAAGGGCUCGUAGGUGGUUGAUCGCGUCGGAAGUGUAAUCUUGGGGCUUAACCCUGAGCGUGCUUUCGAUACGGGUUGACUUGAGGAAGGUAGGGGAGAAUGGAAUUCCUGGUGGAGCGGUGGAAUGCGCAGAUAUCAGGAGGAACACCAGUGGCGAAGGCGGUUCUCUGGGCCUUUCCUGACGCUGAGGAGCGAAAGCGUGGGGAGCGAACAGGCUUAGAUACCCUGGUAGUCCACGCUGUAAACGGUGGGUACUAGGUGUGGGGUCCAUUCCACGGGUUCCGUGCCGUAGCUAACGCUUUAAGUACCCCGCCUGGGGAGUACGGCCGCAAGGCUAAAACUCAAAGGAAUUGACGGGGCCCCGCACAAGCGGCGGAGCAUGCGGAUUAAUUCGAUGCAACGCGUAGAACCUUACCUGGGUUUGACAUGGAUCGGGAGUGCUCAGAGAUGGGUGUGCCUCUUUUGGGGUCGGUUCACAGGUGGUGCAUGGCUGUCGUCAGCUCGUGUCGUGAGAUGUUGGGUUAAGUCCCGCAACGAGCGCAACCCUUGUUCACUGUUGCCAGCACGUUAUGGUGGGGACUCAGUGGAGACCGCCGGGGUCAACUCGGAGGAAGGUGGGGAUGACGUCAAGUCAUCAUGCCCCUUAUGUCCAGGGCUUCACGCAUGCUACAAUGGCUGGUACAGAGAGUGGCGAGCCUGUGAGGGUGAGCGAAUCUCGGAAAGCCGGUCUCAGUUCGGAUUGGGGUCUGCAACUCGACCUCAUGAAGUCGGAGUCGCUAGUAAUCGCAGAUCAGCAACGCUGCGGUGAAUACGUUCCCGGGGCUUGUACACACCGCCCGUCAAGUCAUGAAAGUUGGUAACACCCGAAGCCAAUGGCCUAACCGUUGUGGGGGAGCCGUCGAAGGUGGG